GCAAGUCGAACGGUAACGGAUGUGCUUGCACAUCGCUGACGAGUGGCGGACGGGUGAGUAAUGCUUGGGAACUUGCCUUUGCGAGGGGGAUAACAGUUGGAAACGACUGCUAAUACCGCAUAAUGUCUUCGGACCAAACGGGGCUUCGGCUCCGGCGCAAAGAGAGGCCCAAGUGAGAUUAGCUUGAUGGUGGGGUAAUGGCCCACCAUGGCUGUGAUCGGUAGCCGGCCUGAGAGGGUGUACGGCCACACUGGGACUGAGACACUGCCCAGACUCCUACGGGAGGCUGCAGUCGCGAAUCUUCCACAAUGGACGCAAGUCUGAUGGAGCCACGCCGCGUGUAGGAGGAAGGCCCUUGGGUUGUAAACUACUGUUGAGAAGGGGGAACCGCCGUAGGUUAAUGGCCUGCGGUCUGACUGCCUUCUUGAGGAAGCUCCGGCUAAACACGUGCCAGCAGCCGCGGUAAUGCGUGUAGAGCAAGCGUUGUUCGGAAUUACUGGGCUUAAAGGGUGCGUAGGCGGCCCGCUAAGUCAGCUGUGAAAUCCCACGGCCCAACCGUGGACUUGCAGUUGAUACUGGUGGGCUUGAGUGUGCUAGGGGUAAGCGGAACGAGUGGUGUAGCGGUGAAAUGCGUAGAUAUCACUCGGAAGGCCAGAGCCGAAGGGGGCUUACUGGGGCACAACUGACGCUGAGGCACGAAAGCGUGGGGAGCAAACA
rnacentral:rRNA from 1 species